UAAACUAGGAUUAGAUACCCUAUUAUAUUUAAAUUAAUAAAGUAGUAAUUAUAAUUAAACUGAUUUAAUUUGGCGGCAUUUCAUCUAAUUAGAGGAAUUUGUUUAUUAAUCGAUAAUCCACGUUAAUUUUCACUUCAAUCUUAAAAUUUAUAUACCGCCAUUUUAAGAAUCAAUUUAAAAAUUUCUUUCUUAACAAAUUAUAAAAAAUUAGGUCAAGGUGUAAUCCAUAUUAAAGAAUAAAAUGAAUUACAUUAAAUAAUAUUUAAAGAUUUUUUAUAAAUAUAUAAAUAUAAAUAAGAAUUUAAAAGUAAUAUAAUAAUAAUAA
rnacentral:rRNA from 1 species